CAAUAGCGUAUAUUAAAGUUGUUGCAGUUAAAAAGCUCGUAGUUGAAUUUCGGGUCCCCGCGCUCGGCGCUUCAUUGUGCCGUCGUGGUGUCCCUCCUCGCCGUAAGGCGUCCUUUACUGUGAAAAAAUUAGAGGGUUCAAAGCAGGCAAUCGCUUGAAUACAUUAGCAUGGAAUAAUAAGAUAGGAUCUUGUCUAUUUUGUUGGUUGCGGACAACGAUAAUGAUUAAUAGGGAUAGUUGGGGGUGUCCGUAUUGAGCUGUCAGAGGUGAAAUUCUUGGAUUUGCUCAAGACGAACUACUGCGAAAGCAUUCACCAAGGAUGUUUUCAUUA
rnacentral:rRNA from 1 species